rnacentral:rRNA from 1 species
CCUACGGGAGGCAGCAGUGGGGAAUUUUCCGCAAUGGGCGAAAGCCUGACGGAGCAACACCGCGUGAGGGAAGACUGCCUAUGGGUUGUAAACCUCUUUUUUCAGGGAGGAAUAAAUGACGUGUACCUGAAGAAUAAGCAUCGGCUAACUCCGUGCCAGCAGCCGCGGUAAGACGGAGGAUGCAAGUGUUAUCCGGAAUCACUGGGCGUAAAGCGUCUGUAGGUGGUUUAAUAAGUCAACUGUUAAAUCUUGAGGCUCAACUUCAAAAUCGCAGUCGAAACUAUUAGACUAGAGUAUAGUAGAGGUAAAGGGAAUUUCCAGUGGAGCGGUGAAAUGCGUAGAUAUUGGAAAGAACACCGAUGGCGAAAGCACUUUACUGGGCUAUUACUAACACUCAGAGACGAAAGCUAGGGUAGCAAAUGGGAUUAGAUACCCCAGUAGUCCUAGCCGUAAACAAUGGAUACUAGAUGUUGAACAGAUCGACCUGUGCAGUAUCAAAGCUAACGCGUUAAGUAUCCCGCCUGGGAAGUAUGCUCGCAAGAGUGAAACUCAAAUGAAUUGACGG